CCACCGAACAAGGAUGAUUGUCUCUAUUCAUUGUAUUUUCUCUAAAAUGAUGAUGAAUAAUUAAGUUGGCAAUUGGUUUAUUGGCUUUACUUGAUUGUCAGUUUCAUUGUGGUCAGAAUUUUUUUAAAAAGAUUCAUAAAAUAGGGACAAUUGCCCUAGUUUCAUAUCCGUAGAGCCAUAGACCAUGAUUUCAUCUUCUGACAGC
rnacentral:lncRNA from 1 species